AAUACCAGUGCUUAACACUGGAAUUGCAUUUGAAACUGUGUAGCUUGAGUGCAGGAGAGGAAAGUGGAAUUCCUAGUGUAGCGGUGAAAUGCGUAGAGAUUAGGAGGAACACCAGUGGCGAAGGCGACUUUCUGGACUGUAACUGACGCUGAGGUACGAAAGCGUGGGUAGCGAACAGGAUUAGAUACCCUGGUAGUCCACGCCGUAAACGAUGGAUACUAGGUGUAGGGGGUAUCGACCCCCCCUGUGCCGGAGUUAACGCAAUAAGUAUCCCGCCUGGGGAGUACGGUCGCAAGACUGAAACUCAAAGGAAUUGACGGGGGCCCGCACAAGCAGCGGAGCAUGUGGUUUAAUUCGAAGCAACGCGAAGAACCUUACCAGGGCUUGACAUCCCGAUGACCGGUACAGAGAUGUACCUUCCCUUCGGGGCAUUGGAGACAGGUGGUGCAUGGUUGUCGUCAGCUCGUGUCGUGAGAUGUUGGGUUAAGUCCCGCAACGAGCGCAACCCCUAUCCUUAGUUGCCAUCAGUUAAAGCUGGGCACUCUAAAGAGACUGCCGGGGAUAACUCGGAGGAAGGUGGGGAUGACGUCAAAUCAUCAUGCCCCUUAUGUCCUGGGCUACACACGUGCUACAAUGGCCUGUAACAGAGGGAAGCGAAGCCGUAAGGCGGAGCAAAACUCAGAAACCAGGUCCCAGUUCGGAUUGUGGGCUGCAACUCGCCCACAUGAAGUCGGAGUUGCUAGUAAUCGCGAAUCAGCAUGUCGCGGUGAAUACGUUCCCGGGCCUUGUACACACCGCCCGUCACACCAUGGAAGUUGGGGGGACCCGAAGCCGGUGACCUAACCUUUUAGGGAGGAGCCGUCGAAGGUAAACUCGAUGACUAGGGUGAAGUCGUAACAAGGUAGCCGUA
rnacentral:rRNA from 1 species